UACAAGCUGCAUUGUUCGUAUUGAUAAUAAAGUUUUAACCUUUAAGCUGUAAUAGGGAGUUUUAUUAUUGAAACCGGAAUGACAAGCCUCCGUCUAUACGACAAGGAGGACAGGCAGGAGCGUUUCUGCGAACACCCACUUUGAGGAGUGGUGGUUUAAAACUUUCUUAGACGAAAUACGGCAAAUGCGGCUAUAU
rnacentral:other from 1 species